AGAGUUUGAUCAUGGCUCAGAACGAACACUGGCGGCGUGGAUAAGACAUGCAAGUCGAGCGAGAUUUUUUCUUGUAGCAAUACAGGGAAAAGUCUAGCGGCGAACGGGUGCUUAACACGUGGGCAACCUGCCGUGAAGUGGGGGAUAGCUCGCCGAAAGGCGAAUUAAUACCGCAUGUGAUUAGAGAGGACAUCCUUUCGAAAUUAAAGUCGGGGCAACCUGACGCUUCUUGUGGGGCCCGCGGCCUAUCAGCUAGUUGGCGAGGUAACGGCUCACCAAGGCUUUGACGGGUAGCUGGUCUGAGAGGACGACCAGCCACACUGGGACUGAGACACGGCCCAGACACCUACGGGUGGCAGCAGUCGAGAAUUUUUGACAAUGGGGGAAACCCUGAUCGAGCGACGCCGCGUGGAGGAUGAAGGUCUUCGGAUUGUAAACUCCUGUCAUUGGGGAACAAGGUGCAUACGUUAACUGCGUGUGUAUUGAUAGUACCCGAAGAGGAAGAGACGGCUAACUCUGUGCCAGCAGCCGCGGUA
rnacentral:rRNA from 1 species